UUGGCUAAUUUGAUAGAUUAUACUUUGAUUAGGUCACUAAUUGAUUCGAGUUGACCCAUGCUAUUAAGGUAAAUCAAUAUGAUUGAUUUAGGUGUCUCUAGACUAGGCAUGUCUCUAGUCUAAUUCAAUGACUUAGUGGAGUCAGUGGGAGGACUUUUGACUACUGGUCGAUCUCUUCUCUCAUUCUCAAAUCAUUAUAUCAGUUCGACUGAUUUAGAUGCCCUUAGACC
rnacentral:lncRNA from 1 species